rnacentral:rRNA from 1 species
GACGAACGCUGUCGGCGUGCUUAACACAUGCAAGUCGAACGGAAAGGCCCUGCUUUUGGGGGGUGCUCGAGUGGCGAACGGGUGAGUAACACGUGAGUAACCUGCCCUUGACUUUGGGAUAACUUCAGGAAACUGGGGCUAAUACCGGUUAGGAGCUCCUGCUGCAUGGUGGGGGUUGGAAAGUUUCGGCGGUUGGGGAUGGACUCGCGGCUUAUCAGCUUGUUGGUGGGGUAGUGGCUUACCAAGGCUUUGACGGGUAGCCGGCCUGAGAGGGUGACCGGCCACAUUGGGACUGAGAUACGGCACAGACUCCUACGGGAGGCAGCAGUGGGGAAUAUUGCACAAUGGGCGGAAGCCUGAUGCAGCAUCGCCGCGUGCGGGAUGACGGCCUUCGGGUUGUAAACCGCUUUCGCCUGUGACGAAGCGUGAGUGACGGUAAUGGGUAAAGAAGCACCGGCUAACUACGUG